rnacentral:lncRNA from 1 species
GGCAUUCCAAAUCACGUGAUAUAAUAUGGCUGCUGGAUGGCGAAACUGUCAUCCAUAGGCGUAUCCAAUGUUUAAACCACUUCAUAUUUAAUUUGCUAUCACAAUUUCACAAAUUUCGCUACACAAUUAACAAAAAAAACAAAACCAAACAGGAUAUUCUUUACAAAUUUGUCAAUAUUCAAUGUAAACAUUAGAUACGCCAUGACCACCCCCCUUAACUGUGUCUAUGGCCAUGUCAGUUUAGCCAUCCACCGACCACCACUGACAGUUCAUUGGAAUCCCUAAUAGAUUACAUAUUUAUAAUAUAUAGAUUAUACAAUAACAUAACAUAACCAAAAUAUUUUUUAAAUACACUGGGACUGCAGACUGCACAUAAAUAGAAAAGUAAUAUGUAAAUGUAAAGAAUAGGUAGAAAAGUAAACAGGUUCCCAAAAAGGCAGUUGCAUCAAUUUGAAAAUUUGAGAUAUAAGUACUAGCAGUUGACAUAAGAAGAAAAAAAUAUUUUUUAGCCUCAAACCAAUGAUAUUGAACUUUACUAAAAAAAGUAUGUACAUAUAUUCAGGUAAUCUAAUCCUUUCUGAAUAUUCAACAAACAAAUUAUCGGAAAAUUGUGCUUUCUAAAUAUUUGUUAUAAAAUUUACAAAAAGUGUUGCAAAAGUGUCAGUACCUAGUUGACACAACAAAGUGAAAAAAAAUUAGUAGUUGACACAUCCAAGGGCUAGUAAUGGGCACUCAAAUAUGUAAUACGAACUUUAUUAACGCAUUCACUGCCGACCAUACCACUGUGGUGUGAUUUGUGUACAACAAUGUUUUUAACAGGUUGAUUGCCAACUACUCCUGUUGGAGUGUGGCAGCCUCCUUCGAUGAUACCAGCUACUCCGAUCAGAGUAUAGAUCACAUAACCGAAGUAAGGCUCACUGAGUAGCUGGCAUUACUGAAGGAGGCUGUUUUGUCUGUCGGCAAUCAAUCUGUUAAGUAGUUGGCAUCCGAGGUUCUAUUCAAAUUUUACAACAGCAGGAAAUGUGUGAAUAAUAUGUAAUUAUAGUAUAAUAAAAUAUUUCAAGCUUACCAUCUACAUCCACUGAGUCUGGAAACUGAUAUUUUAUUCUUUCUCCUGAAAUGAGGAGGUUAGAGGUUAGGGCAUCCUUUUUAUGAUUUGAUGAAAUGUUAUUACGCUGACAUCUUUAUCAAUAAUUCUAAAUGCAGUUUAACUGUCAUCACAAUAAUUCAUACCAACAACUUCAGCUUCAAUUCAAUUAUUGAAAACUUUCUGUAUUACACAUGCAAACUUAUAUUUUUUUUCUUUCCAGGGAAUUGUGCAAGUACACAAUCUCCUCCAUAUGAUUUAUAUGAUCAACAUAUUCUUCAUUACUGUAAUCAAUUUAUAAAUGUAAUUGAUUUUAAUGUUCCCUCUAGAUAGGGUUACCAUAUGUCCGGACAGUCCGGAUUUGAAAGACAUGUCCAGAUUGGCGUCCGGAUAUGAGAAAUGUCCGGAUUUUUUCUUUACUAAAAAAAUGGAAAACAUUUGGCCCAACGGUGGGAAAUUUCAUUCUGCGCAACACCUAGUUAAGUUGGUCGCACUGCUUGUCAACAGCGUACUAGCACGAGGAGACAAUAAUCGGUUGAUAGUUAGUUGAGUUAGUGUAAUGACUACUGUGUAAUUGACAGUCUAUUAAUGUUUUACUUGCGUGUAAUGACUUGUGAUGACAUAAGUUACUAGCGUUUAGUUUGGGAAUUUAGUGUUUAUAACUUUUUAAAAUGCUGAAGUAUAUAAAUGUGUUUCUACAUAUUUUUCAGAUAUUGAUGUAGGUUAUUUACAUUUAGUUAUAUUAAUAGUUUAGUUUAGUGUACCUAUAAACUUUGUAAGAUGCCAAAGGGUAAA